rnacentral:rRNA from 1 species
UACAGAGGUCCCAACCGUUGUUCGGAUUCAUUGGGCGUAAAGGGUGCGUAGGCGGCGGGGCAAGUCAGGUGUGAAAUCUCGGGGCUCAACCCCGAAACUGCACUUGAUACUGCCUUGCUCGAGUACUGGAGAGGAGAAUGGAAUUCCCGGUGUAGCGGUGAAAUGCGCAGAUAUCGGGAGGAACACCGGUGGCGAAGGCGGUUCUCUGGGCCUGACCUGACGCUGAGGAGCGAAAGCGUGGGGAGCGAACAGG